rnacentral:rRNA from 1 species
AUUGAACGCUGGCGGCAGGCCUAACACAUGCAAGUCGAGCGGAUGAAGGGAGCUUGCUCCUGGAUUCAGCAGCGGACGGGUGAGUAAUGCCUAGGAAUCUGCCUGGUAGUGGGGGAUAACGUCCGGAAACGGGCGCUAAUACCGCAUACGUCCUGAGGGAGAAAGUGGGGGAUCUUCGGACCUCACGCUAUCAGAUGAGCCUAGGUCGGUUUAGCUAGUUGGUGGGGUAAAGGCCUACCAAGGCGACGAUCCGUAACUGGUCUGAGAGGAUGAUCAGUCACACUGGAACUGAGACACGGUCCAGACUCCUACGGGAGGCAGCAGUGGGGAAUAUUGGACAAUGGGCGAAAGCCUGAUCCAGCCAUGCCGCGUGUGUGAAGAAGGUCUUCGGAUUGUAAAGCACUUUAAGUUGGGAGGAAGGGCAGUAAGUUAAUACCUUGCUGUUUUGACGUUACCAACAGAAUAAGCACCGGCUAACUUCGUG